rnacentral:rRNA from 1 species
UUGAACGCUGGCGGAAUGCUUUACACAUGCAAGUCGAGCGGCAGCGCGGGGCAACCUGGCGGCGAGCGGCGAACGGGUGAGUAACAUAUCGGAACGUACCCUAUCGUGGGGGAUAACACAUCGAAAGAUGUGCUAAUACCGCAUACGACCUGAGGGUGAAAGCGGUGGAUCGCAAGACCUCGCGCGACAGGAGCGGCCGAUAUCGGAUUAGCUAGUUGGUGAGGUAAAGGCUCACCAAGGCGACGAUCCGUAGCUGGUCUGAGAGGACGACCAGCCACACUGGAACUGAGACACGGUCCAGACUCCUACGGGAGGCAGCAGUGGGGAAUUUUGGACAAUGGGGGCAACCCUGAUCCAGCCAUUCCGCGUGAGUGAAGAAGGCCUUCGGGUUGUAAAACUCUUUCGGCCGGAAAGAAAUCGUCAAGGCUAAUAUCCUUGAUGGAUGACGGUACCGGAAGAAGAAGCACCGGCUAACUACGU